rnacentral:miRNA from 1 species
GGCUGAGGACAGGGGCUGAC